GGAUGCGAUCAUACCCGCACUAAAGCACCGGAUCCCAUCAGAACUCCGAAGUUAAGCGUGGUUGGGCGAGAGUGGUACUUUGGAUGGGUGACCUCCUGGGAAGUCCUCGUGUUGCAUUCC
rnacentral:rRNA from 1 species